UGCCCGAGCCCGUUGACAGCGACUAGCUUCUGGCUUCUCUCUUACCUCCACGUUUGCUUUCCCGCAGUCAUCUAGGAACAUGGGUCUGCUGGCAGUCAGCCCUUCUUUCCACAUGUGGGGGCCCAUGGAGGCUCCCUAGUAUGGCUUUACUCCAGAGAAUUACAGCCUGCAGUGAGCAAGGAUGAGGAAGAUGGGCAGGAAGCCAGCGCUCUGUGCGGUUCAGCUGCCUCCUCUCAGUGGACCAGAUCCCCACGGUUGUUUCCAGGGAGGCCUGACCUUUCAAAUACCUGGGGCUGUGGAGCACAAAGGGAAGAGAGCAAAGUAGACCAGGAUAAGAUAACCGCACAGCCACUUGCUAAACUUAGGUGUACACACACACACACACACACACACACACACACACACACACUGCUUCAUGAAAUAUGAUCUGAUGAAUUCAUCAUCAGGCAAUUUCAUCACUGUGCCAAUCAAAUCAGAGCGCGCACUUACUCAAAGAUGGUAAUAGGAACUUUUUAGCUUCGUUAUAAUGUAUGGAACACGACCUGUAGAUGCAGGCUGUCAUUGAAUGAAAUGUCAUUGUGUGGCACAUGACUGUAGAUAUACAGAUAUAGAUCUUUAAAUAUAGAGAAGGCCCCUUUCCUCUAGUCUGUGAUCAUCUCCUAGAGGAUAGGUACCGGUGGAACAAGGAAUUGGCCCGGGAAGGAGUACAAGGUGCUUGGCACAGUGGGACUAUAAGCUUGAGGUAAAGGAGCAUUACCUCACUGACGUACCUGGUGUACCUUUCAGGGAUCCUGUAGUAAAAAGGAGGUGAUGAGGUGUGGCAGGGAGGUCCCUGAGACAGGAAGUACAGAGGACCCAUGAAUGGUGUGGGCAAGGAUUUUCAUUGGCAGUAGCAAAUCCCUGACAGCAAUAAUACUAAAUUGACAUUUCUUUCGUGACAACGCACAACCAAAGGGGUAAGGGCAGCUUAAGAGCAUACCUAAGGGCCAGGGAGGUGUCUCUACAAUAAAGACAUUUGCCGCUAAGUCCGAUAACCUGAUGGCCCACUUAGUGGAAGGAGCGAACUUCUAGCAACUUCUUCUCUGACCUCCACAUGCACACAUACACACACUGUGGUGCAUGUAUGCCCUAUACCCACUCACUCUGUCUCCCUCACACACACAUGCACACACACAAACACACACACACACACAUACAGAGAGAGAGAGAGAGAGAGAGACAGAGACAGAGAGAGACAGACAGAGAGAUAGAGAGAUAGAGAGACAGAAAGAGAGAGGGGGGAGAUUUUUUUUAAAGAUAGUACCUAAAUUUCUUUGUAUCCAGCUCCUCCCUCUUCCCACCCCACCGUUGCUAAGUUCACCCCUGAAUUAUGCCAAUAGCUCAAUUUGUGCCAACUUGAUGGGCCACAGAAUGCCCAGACAAUCUGGUUAAACAAUGUUUCUGGAUCUGUCUUAGGAAAUAUUUCCAGAAUAGAUCAGCAAUUGAAUGAAGGAUCCAAGUAGAGCGCGUAACUCUCCACCAUGCGGGUGAGCUGCAUCGGCCUUGAUCUCCCUGCUCCAGAGAGUCUGCAUAGAAUAGAAGUGGAGAGGAUCGAAUUUGCCCUCUGCCUGGCUGCUGAGCUGAGACAUUGAUCUUCUCUGUUCCUUGAUCUUAGGUCUUCAGAUCUGGCCUAGAAUGCACCAUCAGCAGCACAGCUCUCAGGCAUCUGGACUACAUCACGGGCUUGCCUGGGUCUCCAACUUGCAGACCGCAGACUGUAGUCAUCCUCAGCUUCCACCAUUGCAUGAGCCAAUACCUUAUAAUUAGCCUCUUACUAAGGAUUUUAUAUAUCCGUAUUGUGGUGGUUUGAAUGAGAUUAGCCCCCAUAGACUUUGAACGCUUGGUCCCCAGUUAGUGGAGCUGUCUGGGAAGGAUCAGGACUCAGGGUCUUGUUGGAGGAGUGUGUUGC